CCUACCCUACCUUUCCCAGCCAAGGAAUUUCCCGGAAAGGAAUGGGUCCCUCAAAGAAAGCGAAACAACAGGUGCUUGAUGGUUGUCGGCAGGUGGCGUGGGGAGUUGGGGGGUGAAUUCCCACAAGCACCGCCCCCCUCCUUUGUAGUUAGCACAUUCAGUUGGGCACUUUAAGGAGACUGCCGGUGACAAACCGGAGGAAGGUGGGGAUGACGUCAAGUCCUCAUGGCCCUUAUGGGUAGGGCUACACACGUCAUACAAUGGCCGGUACAGAGGGUUGCCAACCCGCGAGGGGGAGCUAAUCCCAGAAAACCGGUCGUAGUCCGGAUUGCAGUCUGCAACUCGACUGCAUGAAGUCGGAAUCGCUAGUAAUCGCGGCUCAGCA
rnacentral:rRNA from 1 species